rnacentral:sRNA from 1 species
CAAGGAAAACAUUUACUUGGGGCUGGUUUAUAGUUUCAGAGGUUUAGUCCAUUAUCAUCACGGUCGGAAACAUGCCAAUGUGUAGGCAGACGUGGACCUGGAAAUGAAGCUGAGAGUUCUGUCUUGGUUCUCAGGCAGCAGAAGCAGACUGUGCACACUGGCCACACUUCACCUUCUUACAUCUCAAAGCUCACUCCUACAGUGACUGACUUCUUCCAACAAAGCCACACCUACUCCAACAAGGCCACACCUCCUAAUAGUGCUGCUCUCUACGGGCCAGGCAUUCAAACACUUGAAUCUAUGGGAACCAUUUCUAUUCAAGCAGCCACAUCGACCCAGAUCUUUUGCCUCAUGUCUUGGUUUGUGGAUUUCAGAAGAGGAGCUCCGAGAGGUUAUGCAGUGCACCCACGGACAGCUAGGAUGGACUCAGACGAUGAGGAUAUUUGCUGAGUAGCAGUCUUCACUCUACUAAUCAGGUGAUGAGGGUGAUGUAUGUGGCCCUGUCUGCUGCCGAGCCAGGUGCUGAUGAGCUGCUUUCCCUGUGCUUGCAAAGGUGCUCCCCUCGGGCUCUGAGAGCGUUAGAACUUGGAAUGACUGGGAGGACAUGGUGGUGUGGGCCCCAUCUGGUCCCAGGUGAGCUGCUGACUACAUUGUGACAUUAGAAACUCUGAGCUUCCUCUCUCUAGAGUUUCUCUUCCAUGAAGCUGAGGCUUCAGUCUGAAUCAAUCUUCUCCUAAAAGCCUGUGUCUUCUACUUUCCCAGCCAUGUUUCAUGGACCUGUUGCCUAUAUCAGCAUUUAAACAAAUCCCCCUUAAAUAUAUUUGUUUGUUUGUUUAUAUGUGCAUGAGUGUUUGUUUAUAUGUGCAUAUAUGUUUGUGCACCCAUUGUCUGGUAUCCGCAGAGAGCACCAGGUUCCCCAGCACUGGAGUUCCAGAUAGUUGUGAGGAGAUGAACCUAGGUCCUCUGCAAGGACAGCAAAUGCUCAUGACUCCAAGCCACCUCUUUAGCCCCUGUAUUUCAGCUUUUAAAAUCUUUCCCUUGACCUAAGACUUGAGGUUUAUAAUGGCAUGAAUUUUCCUUUAUGUUGCACUAAAAUGAAUUCAGUUGAUUAACAAGAAGCUGGAUUUCUCUUCCUAACACUGUAGGUAACAAAUGCUGGGCUCACGGUUUUUGCACCCAUGAAAUCAUUUCAUGAUACUAAUAUUUUUAGGAAGCUGGUAUUUUAUUUUCUUCGUUUUAUAGAGGUAGAAACUAAGGUACAGAGAACUUAAGCAAUAUUCCCGAAGACCACACAACUAGAUCCACCUAAAAUAGUUGAGCUCUACCUGAGGACCAGGAUUCUCUGACUAAUUCAGCCAGCUCAGGCAUGGCUCUGUGUGACUACAAGGGGAACCAAGCAGGAAGGUUUUUAUGUCCCCCAAGGCAAUGGUCUCUAGGAGUAGGAGAUGGGAGUGUGAGGGUCAUACUGGUCCACAGGGUGUCUUGAAGGACAGGCACCUGGGAAGUAGGGGGAUCCAAGUUUUUCUCAGUGUUUCCAGAACUGAGAAGUACCAGAAAGGGAGGCAGGCUUAUUGAGGCUGUGGCUCAGCCCGUGGUCGGUUGGGCAUCCUAUAGGCUGAGAAGCAGAAGAAAGAAGUGGGCUGCCUUUACCCUCCUGGCCACCAGCAAGUUCACAGACAGUGCACAGACAAUGCCCAGAUGGUCAGAGGGCCAGCAAGAUGGUUCGGUGGGUAAAGAAACUUGCCGCCAAGCCUGAGUUCAAUUCCCCAGGAACCACAUAGUGGAAGAAGAGGACAUGUCCCAGAGAAUUAUCCUUUGACCUCCAUAUGUGAACUGUGGCAUGCAUGCUCACACACACACACACACACACACACACACACACACACACACAGCAUAAAUAAAUGAAUGAAGAAAAAGGUCUAUUAGUGUAACAGAGUUGCCAGAAUUUGUUCAACAACACCACUUGUUGGAUGUUUAUGUUGUUUCUAGUGUCUUGCUGUUACAGAAAAUGCCAUGGAGAACCCUUAAGUGUGUAUGGUGGACCCAGGGGGCUAUUAAGUUAUGCCAACCAAUAGGUUUUCUUGCUUAGAACAUGUGAGAUUUGGAGAUGGUGACUGCCCCAGUCCUCACCACCUCAGUGGGCUCAGGGGCUUCUGGGAAUGAUCGGAUGAUUGGCAGAGACGAUUGGUUCUAUAUCUGCACAGCUUUGGGGACUUGACCUCACUGAGGCAGCAAAAGGCUCAGCGCACCUGAAGCACAGUAGAGUUGAACAGGAAGCCAGAGUUCUAGCAUACAGUGGAACUACGAGGUAGGCUAGCAGGAGCCAUCUCUCUAGGGAACAGCCUGCAGGUGGUAAGCACCCAGGAGAAGAGAGCACAGUAGGCAUUUUUUGCACACUAUACACACUAUCAACAUUCACACUUGGACCAGGAAAGAAAGUGCUGCCAGUCCCAUGGGGCUGCCGCACUGUGGUCCUUGAUGUGACCAUACCCUUAUCAAACAGUCCCUUUUCAGGCAGAGCUUGGCUCUCUACAAACCAGAAGGGGUGCGGAAGGAGGGAUGCUCCAGGUGCCAAGGGUAGGAUGUGCAGGAAGGAAAGAGUGGGUUUGGGAAGGAGCAGAGACCGUGAGAGCCGGGCCAACCGAGGAUGUGAAUAUUGUCUACAGAGCUCUGUAGCCUUCUUGGAGGAUUGCUGUCAAUAAAUCACAAUGUUGUUCAAA